rnacentral:rRNA from 1 species
AUGGCGGCGCCUCCCCCCGCUCCUGCUGCUGCUGCGGCGGCGAGGGCCGGCGGGCUGGUCCUGUGGCUGCACGGCUCCGCCGAGACGGGGGAGCAGAGCCGCGCCCAGAUCGCGCCCUACUUCUCCGCCGCCCCCGCCGUCCGCCUCACCUUCCCCACCGCCCCCAUCGCCUGCGUUGGUGACGUGGUGCUCAAUGCGUGGUUCGGCAUCCCGGAGGUCCCCAUAACCGCUACCACUGUUAGAGAUGAGCAAGGAGUCCUGGAAGCUGUUGAGCAUGUGCACGAAAUGUUGGACAAAGAAGUGGCUGCCGGGACGAGUCCUACAAACAUUUUCGUUUGUGGAUUAAGCCAAGGAGGUGCUCUAGCCAUAGCAAGUGUUCUGCUCUACCACAAGACUUUAGGUGGGUGUGCUGUUUUCAGUGGUUCAGUUCCUCUGAGCAAAUCAUUUGCUGACAGGGUGACACCUGAAGCCAGAAAGACGCCGGUUUUAUGGUUCCAUGGGAUGGCAGACGGGGUGGUACUAUUCGAAGCCGGGCAUGCCGGGUGCGCAUUUCUCCAAGAGCUUGGCAUGGCCUGCGAAUUCAAGACUUAUCCGACCCUUGGGCACUUGCUUGUGGAUGAAGAGCUCCAGUAUUUUCGACGAUGGAUAUUCGAUCGUCUAGGGAUCUCUCAAGGAACUAAAGAUGCAAGGCCAUCAUCGUCAUCAUCGAACCACGAAGAUCUCCACUAG